GAUGAACGCUAGCGACAGGCUUAACACAUGCAAGUCGAGGGGCAGCGCGGAGUAGCAAUACUCUGGCGGCGACCGGCGGAAGGGUGCGUAACACGUGAGCGACUUGCCCGUCACAGGGAGAUAACCGCUGGAAACGGCGACUAAUAUCCCAUAUGAUGGCGAUCUGCAUGGAUUGUCAUUGAAAGAUUCAUCGGUGACGGAUAGGCUCGCGGGGCAUUAGCUAGACGGCGGGGCAACGGCCCACCGUGGCGACGAUGCCUAGGGGUUCUGAGAGGAAGACCCCCCACACUGGGACUGAGACACGGCCCAGACUCCUACGGGAGGCAGCAGUGAGGAAUAUUGGUCAAUGGGCGGAAGCCUGAACCAGCCAUGCCGCGUGAAGGACUAAGGCCCUAUGGGUCGUAAACUUCUUUAGACGCAGAGCAAUAAGGGUCUCGUGAGAUCCGAUGAGAGUAUGCGUAGAAUAAGCAUCGGCUAACUCCGUGCCAGCAGCCGCGGUAAUACGGGGGAUGCGAGCGUUAUCCGGAUUUAUUGGGUUUAAAGGGUGCGCAGGCGGGCUGUCAAGUCAGCGGUAAAAUAGCGGGGCUCAACCCCGUCGAGCCGUUGAAACUGGCAGCCUAGAGUGGGCGAGAAGUAUGCGGAAUGCGUGGUGUAGCGGUGAAAUGCAUAGAUAUCAUGAAGAACUCCGAUCGCGAAGGCAGAUGCCCGGAGCGCAACUGACGCUGAGGCUCGAAAGUGCGGGUAUCAAACAGG
rnacentral:rRNA from 1 species